UCCAAAAGUGCUUCACCGUUUCUGGUGACAAUAAUUUUACAGUGUGAAAAAUAAACUUUGUUUGUUUGUUUUUUUGCACAGACCGGAAGACUUUCAGUGGAAGAGGCGAUGUCCUUUGCGGAAUCAACAGGUUUAACCUCGAAUGUAAAAGAUCAAGAAGAGAACACGACAUAUAACUUUGGAGUUUAUAAACACACGAAGGACCGGUCUCGCACUGAACGUUACAUCUUGCAGUUUGAUUUUAACGAGCAAGCUUUAUCCACUAUCCAGAAAGGAAAAUUUGGCAAGAAAAUUCCGUUUGAUGAAAUUCGUGACUACGUGA